CAAAAGGAGAAGUUGCUCCUGGGAGUUUUGCAUAUAUCCACCAGAGGGGGGCGCUCUACACUCACGUCAACAUGCUUGCAAGUGUUGUGGUGUAAGCGACCACCCAGAGCCAGAGAGGAUGAGCCGUAAGGUACAGCGAGCAGCGAGCCCCAGCAGCCACAGACAGAGGCAGGAGGCAGUGUGGGCCCUGGAGGAGAGGGUUCGGCAGCUGCAGAGGGACCUGGGGGACACACAGGCCGAGGCCAGGGCCCUUAGGGAGCAGCUCUCCAGCUUCACCUUAGGGCCAGCCGGCCUGGCAGGGGGAGUGUGUGGCUGUUGCAGAAGUCAGCAGGAUUGUGGGUGUAGUCCCACCUCUCAUCUCGGUGCCAGCUAAGGAGAGAGGUCAGCCACACAUGCGCAUUCUGAAUGCGGCAUUCAGGUGAAGGGGACAUAGCUGAAAAGCAAAUUGGAUGGCCGUGGUCUUUUGGACCUCAGAUUGCAUUGCAUCAACACCAGACCUGUCUCCAGAACUGUCAUUGUAUGGGCUCAGGAAAACCUCUGUGUUGG